rnacentral:rRNA from 1 species
UAGGGAAUCUUCCGCAAUGGACGCAAGUCUGACGGAGCAACGCCGCGUGAGUGAAGAAGGAUUUCGGUUCGUAAAACUCUGUUGUUAGAGAAGAACAGCGCAUAGAGUAACUGUUAUGCGUGUGACGGUAUCUAACCAGAAAGCCACGGCUAACUACGUGCCAGCAGCCGCGGUAAUACGUAGGUCCCGAGCGUUGUCCGGAUUUAUUGGGCGUAAAGCGAGCGCAGGCGGUUAGAUAAGUCUGAAGUUAAAGGCAGUGGCUCAACCAUUGUAGGCUUUGGAAACUGUUUAACUUGAGUGCAGAAGGGGAGAGUGGAAUUCCAUGUGUAGCGGUGAAAUGCGUAGAUAUAUGGAGGAACACCAGUGGCGAAGGCGACUCUCUGGUCUGUAACUGACGCUGAGGCUCGAAAGCGUGGGUAGCAAACAGG